CUUGACUGUAUCCUGGAAUUGGGUUCGGGCUUUUCUUGCGCGGCCUAGGUGGGAGGCUAUGAAGAUUUCCUUCCGGGGAAGUUGGAGCCAUCAGUGAGAGACCACUCUGGAGAGGCUAGAAUCCUAAUGGUGAUCCUUGAAUCAGGACACUUGACAGUUUCAGGUGGGCAGUUUUUCUGGGGCGGAAGCCUCAUAAAGGGUAACUGAGGCGCGCAAAGGUCCCCUCAGUCUGGACGGAAAUCAGACAACGAGUGUAAAGGCAAAAGGGGGCUUGACUGCAAGACCUACAAGUCGAGCAGGAGCGAAAGCUGGCCUUAGUGAUCCGACGGUGCCGCACGGAAGGGCCGUCGCUCAACGGAUAAAAGUUA
rnacentral:rRNA from 1 species